GACGAACGCUGGCGGCGUGCCUAACACAUGCAAGUCGAGCGGAGAUGACGUGAGGAAGUUUUCGGAUGGAAUCACAUUAUUUUAGCGGCGGACGGGUGAGUAACGCGUGAGCGACCAACCUUGCACAGGGGGAUAACGGACCGAAAGGUUCACUAAUACCGCAUGAGACCACGGUGUUGCAUGACACAGAGGUCAAAGGAGGGAUCCGGUGCAAGACGGGCUCGCGUCCGAUUAGGUAGUUGGAGGGGUAACGGCCCACCAGGCCUAUGAUCGGUAGCCGACCUGAGAGGGUGAUCGGCCACAUUGGAACUGAGAUACGGUCCAAACUCCUACGGGAGGCAGCAGUGGGGAAUAUUGGGCAAUGGGGGAAACCCUGACCCAGCAACGCCGCGUGAAGGAAGAAGGUUUUCGGAUUGUAGACUUCUGUCCUUGGUGAAGAGAAGAAGACGGUAGCCAAGGAGGAAGCCCCGGCUAACUACGUGCCAGCCGCCGCAGUAA
rnacentral:rRNA from 1 species